UUUCCGUAGGUGAACCUGCGGAAGGAUCAUUGUCGAAGCCUCGCUCUAGAAUGACUCGAUAACCUGUACCAGUUCAUGAUUCGAGUUUCGUGGCGAUUUUUCGAUUUGCCCAUGACUAACAACAAAGCACCGGCGCGGUAGUGCCAAGGAAUUUCGUGAUGAGUAUGCCACCGUGUAGAGCUCCUACUCUACUGCUUGUGAGGUUGGCUUCCUUUAAUAAAAAAUGACUCUCGGCAAUGGAUAUCUCGGCUCCUGCAUCGAUGAAGAACGUAGCGAAAUGCGAUACUUGGUGUGAAUUGCAGAAUCCCGUGAACCAUCGAAACUUUGAACGCAAGUUGCGCCUCAAGCCAUUAGGUUGAGGGCACGUUUGCUUGGGUGUCAUGCGUUACGUCUCCCCUCUCGUGCGUGGAGUGGGAAUGGAUUGUGGCCUCCCGGGCCCUUCAUUGGGGGCGUGGUUGGCCGAAAAUGAUGUCCUUGACUUUGUUGAUGCUUUGGCGUGUGGUGGAUGUACCAAGUGUGCAUAAUUGCCUGCCUUGCUCGACUUCUUGUGGCGUUGGGAUCCUAUGAGGCUGUCGGUGUCGGCCCUUUGAUUGCGGCCCCAAGUCAGGCGAGACUACCC
rnacentral:rRNA from 1 species